rnacentral:rRNA from 1 species
GAUGAACGCUGGCGGCGUGCCUAAUACAUGCAAGUCGAGCGACCAGACGAGGAGCUUGCUCCUCUGACGUUAGCGGCGGACGGGUGAGUAACACGUGCAUAACCUACCUAUUAGACUGGGAUAACUUCGGGAAACCGGAGCUACUACCGGAUAAUAUAUUGAACCGCAUGAUUCAAUAGUGAAAGACGGUUUUGCCGUCACUUAUAGAUGGAUCCGCGCCGCAUUAGCUAGUUGGUAAGGUAACGGCUUACCAAGGCAACGAUGCGUAGCCGACCUGAGAGGAUGAUCGGCCACACUGGAACUGAGACACGGUCCAGACUCCUACGGGAGGCAGCAGUAGGGAAUCUUCCACAAUGGGCGAAAGCCUGACGGAGCAACGCCGCGUGAGUGAUGAAGGUCUUCGGAUCGUAAAACUCUUUUAUUAGGGAAGAACAAAUGUGUAAGUAACUAUGCACGUCUUGACGGUACCUAAUCAGAAAGCCACGGCUAACUACGUG